AACGAACGCUGGCGGCAUGCCUAACACAUGCAAGUCGAGCGCCUGUAGCGAUACGGGAGCGGCGCACGGGUGAGUAACGCGUGGGAACCUGCCCUUAGGUCCGGGACAACCGCGGCAAACUGCGGCUGAUACCGGACGAAGUCCCCGAUAGAGACAUAGGGGCCGAAGGAUUUAUCGCCUUUGGAGGGGCCCGCGUCGGAUUAGGGAGUUGGUGGGGUAACGGCUUACCAAGCCUGUGCGCCGUAGCUGGUCUGAGAGUAUGAUCAGCCACACUGGGACUGAGACACGGCCCAGACUCCUGCGGGAGGCAGCAGUGGGGAGUAUUGGACAAUGGGGGCAACCCUGAUCCAGCAAUGCCGCGUGGGUGAUGAAGGCCUUCGGGUUGUAAAGCCCUUUCGGCGGGGACGAUGAUGACGGUACCCGCAGAAGAAGCCCCGGCUAACUUCGUGCCAGCCGCCGCGGUAAAAC
rnacentral:rRNA from 1 species